rnacentral:rRNA from 1 species
CCUACGGGGGGCUGCAGUCGAGAAUCUUCGGCAAUGGGCGAAAGCCUGACCGAGCGACGCCGCGUGCGGGAUGAAGGCCUUCGGGUUGUAAACCGCUGUCGGCGGGGAUGAAAUGCCGAUGGGUACUCCCAACGGCUUGACUGAUCCUCGGAGGAAGGGUGGGCUAAGUUCGUGCCAGCAGCCGCGGUAAGACGUACCACCCAAACGUUAUUCGGAAUCACUGGGCUUAAAGAGUCCGUAGGCGGCUCGGUAAGUUGGAUGUGAAAUACCUCGGCUCAACCGAGGAACUGCAUUCAAAACUACCGAGCUUGAGAGAGACAGAGGUAAGCGGAACUGAUGGUGGAGCGGUGAAAUGCGUUGAUAUCAUCAGGAACACCGGUGGCGAAGGCGGCUUACUGGGUCUCUUCUGACGCUGAGGGACGAAAGCUAGGGGAGCGAACGGGCUUAGAUACCCCGGUAGU